rnacentral:lncRNA from 1 species
ACCUUUUUGUCAUAGACUGUACAUAGACAUGGAGCAAAAGAAUUGGGUGAGAACUUACUUGCAAUAAUUUACUGCCAUGACAUCAUUGGUUUCUUCCUGCUGUAUGGGUAUGAAGUCAUCCUUCCGGUUGAUCAUCUGCACAUGAUUGGUGAUUAAUGUAUUGCCAAUUUCUGCAUAGAACUUUUGGCAACCUGACUAGAAGAGGUCUGAAAUUUGGCAUGUCUUCAUAUCACUGUAACUUAGGAAUAUGUAUGCUAAGGAGCAGAAAAUCACUAGGCAUCUACCCAAGGAAUACCAGGAAAAUGAUCUGGAUUGGGUGUUCAUCCUCAUAUGAACCAUAAGGACACUCCAAGAAACUACUCUGCCAAUAGUUUGGACUUUAUGUUGUUUUCUGUCAUCUCUCUUAAGUCUCCUAUGAAGUUGAAACCAUCUCUGAUUCUAAUCAUUGCAAGUGCAGAUAUUUUAGAGAAAAUUCUGCAUUGCCUGUAUGAAACUCUUCUACCUAUUUAUGAAGAUUCUCCAGUGGAAAAUCAUCUAGAGGAGGGGAUUAUGCUAGAUGAUUAAUGCCCUCUAGGGAAAAAACGAUUAGUAAUUCUUUCAAGAGGGAUGAAAAACUCUACCCACUAGGACUAGUUGAUUUGUGGUUUUUUUGAUUGUGUUGCUGAUCAUCAGGAACUUCACUAAAUUAUAUUUUAAAAAGAGUAAACAUAAAAUUUUUUU